ensembl:lncRNA
CGACACUCUGCAUUUACUGAAAUGCAGAAGACGAUGUACCCUGAUCAGCGUCCACUGGAGCUGCAGAAGCUGUCAGACACGCGGUGGGCCUGCAGAGAAACUGCCCUUCGCACUCUAAGGAAGGUCCUCCCAGCUGUCAUGCAGUUUCUUGAGGAAAUGACACAACAAGACCCACCAGACUCUUCAGCAGUUCAAGCAGUCAGCCUUGGCUGCAGCCUCUCUCAGCAAGUAGUCUCCUCCAAACUAUCAGCAGUAUGGCAGUGUCUACACUAUGAGAUCAAUACAGCCCACCUCCAGCAAUAUCAGCAGCAGCAGCCUCCUCACCAACCCCCCCAACAGAAGCUGUUCAAUGUACCCAUGAGGUCUCUGCACGGCCCUGGACUGCAGCGUAACUCACCGAGAUGACUCUGACCAUGUAGUGCGCCCUGAUGUAGACGAUGCCCAACGUUGCUAUUUUGGAAAAUAAAAGAAUUGUGCGUGCCCCCAGGCCAUCGGGCUACCAUGUUCAGGAUUGACAUUCUGGCAUCGCAAAUAAUCUGAACAUUAACUGAAUGGUAGCUUUUGCGGUUGAUGUACGCGUAAUCAUUAAUAGAUGGUUCAUACGCACAUGGGUACAAUCAACCGCACCAAUCACAUUUGGAAACCUAGCAAUAGCAUAAAAAUCCCGUUUGAUUCCAGUUUGCUGAUCGUUAUUAUAUGGGAAUUUAAUAUAACGUUCGGAGAGGGACAUUAUAGCUGCCAAAACUGCUGGCAUGGUUCGGCUAAUACUUGGCUGGGAAAUAGCAGACCUGUCC